rnacentral:rRNA from 1 species
AGGACGAACGCUGGCGGCGUGCUUAACACAUGCAAGUGGAGCGACGAACCAGGCUUCGGCCUGGGGCAGAGCCGCGAACGGGUGAGUAACACGUGGGUAACCUGCCUCGAUGACUGGGACAACCCGGGGAAACCCGGGCUAAUACCGGAUGUGCUCCUUCACAUCAGUGAAGACAGGAAAGGAAGCUUCGGCCUCCGCAUCGAGAUGGGCCCGCGGCCCAUUAGCUUGUUGGUGAGGUAACGGCUCACCAAGGCUGCGAGUGGGUAG